AGUGAACGCUGGCGGUAGGCCUAACACAUGCAAGUCGAACGGCAGCACAGUAAGAGCUUGCUCUUACGGGUGGCGAGUGGCGGACGGGUGAGGAAUACAUCGGAAUCUACUUUUUCGUGGGGGAUAACGUAGGGAAACUUACGCUAAUACCGCAUACGACCUACGGGUGAAAGCAGGGGGUCUUCGGACCUUGCGCGAUUGAAUGAGCCGAUGUCGGAUUAGCUAGUUGGCGGGGUAAAGGCCCACCAAGGCGACGAUCCGUAGCUGGUCUGAGAGGAUGAUCAGACACACUGGAACUGAGACACGGUCCAGACUCCUACGGGAGGCAGCAGUGGGGAAUAUUGGACAAUGGGCGCAAGCCUGAUCCAGCCAUACCGCGUGGGUGAAGAAGGCCUUCGGGUUGUAAAGCCCUUUUGUUGGGAAAGAAAAGCAGCAGGUUAAUACCCCGCUGUUCUGACGGUACCCAAAGAAUAAGCACCGGCUAACUUCGUG
rnacentral:rRNA from 1 species